AGCAGUUUUUGCAUCAUGGAUUAAUUGCUACAAUUUGAUAUGUGUCUUUUAAACCUUUUGGUCUAAGUGAAGUAAUAGAUGUGAUGUUCUGUGUGUCAUUUUACACUACAACAUGUACUUUUAAUUAAACACUCGCGUCUUUACUUAAUAUCAUGGGUCUGUCUACAAAAGGGGGAAUUCAAAGUUUCUUACACAAAAUCCAAAAAA
rnacentral:sRNA from 1 species